UUUAAAGCAUGAAUUUCUUUUUCUUUCACCUGAAGUCUGCACAGUAUUCCACAGAGCAGCUGUCCACAGCAAGAAACUCAUCAUUCACUCUCUGAUCAGCACAUACACAUUACCCUCCUGCUAUUAUUUAGCUGAACAGUUUCAGUGUCUUGGGUGCCUUGUGGAAGUUGGGAAGGAAAAUCAAAGGUCACAAGGAAGAUGGAAAAAGGGAAGGGUGAGAAGACAUCUGAGAUGGAAACAGAGACAAAUGACUCUUCCCUUGAGGUAACAUCAGAUACAGGAGAAGCUCCCCUGUGCUGCACUGGAGUCCAACAGAAGGAGAGACUAGCUCGAGGCUACAGCCGAACUCCUUAUGAACGGAAAAAGGAAGGCUGCUCCCGUAAUGGGCUGUGAAAUACUGACCUUCCAGAAUAGCCAUUUUAAGGAGCUUUUGGGUUUUGUUCAGCUGCGGCGAGGAAAGUGUAAUUGUGCUGCCCAGUUCUGUUUGAACAAGUGAGUUGUGCACUUCACUGGAGGAAUGCAUGGAGUGUGUUGAAAGCACAGAUACGGAAGUGUGGCCAGGAAUGUGAUGGAGUGGAUAUAAAAUGAGUGAAGACAAGUGUCCUCAUGCUGGCUGCGGUGGUGACGUGCAUUAUCUCGGCGUUAUCAGGAGAUAGAUGUUUGCAUUCCCAUGGGUCAGUGCAAGUUGUCACAGUUUCAACUUCCAGCUUUUUCUUAUGGAAAUAACAUCACGAGGCAAAGAGCAUGAAAAGUCCUCUGCUUGCUUGCACCUCCACAUGUGAUCUUACA
rnacentral:lncRNA from 1 species